rnacentral:rRNA from 1 species
GAUGAACGCUGGCGGCGUGCCUAAUACAUGCAAGUCGAGCGAACAGACGAGGAGCUUGCUCCUCUGACGUUAGCGGCGGACGGGUGAGUAACACGUGGAUAACCUACCUAUAAGACUGGGAUAACUUCGGGAAACCGGAGCUAAUACCGGAUAAUAUAUUGAACCGCAUGGUUCAAUAGUGAAAGACGGUUUUGCUGUCACUUAUAGAUGGAUCCGCGCCGCAUUAGCUAGUUGGUAAGGUAACGGCUUACCAAGGCAACGAUGCGUAGCCGACCUGAGAGGGUGAUCGGCCACACUGGAGCUGAGACCCGGUCCAGACUCCUACGGGAGGCAGCAGUAGGGAAUCUUCCGCAAUGGGCGAAAGCCUGACGGAGCGACGCCGCGUGAGUGAUGAAGGUCUUCGGAUCGUAAAACUCUGUUAUUAGGGAAGAACAAAUGUGUAAGUAACUAUGCACGUCUUGACGGUACCUAAUCAGAAAGCCACGGCUAACUACGUG